rnacentral:lncRNA from 10 species
ACUUCCGGGGUCGCAAAGUUUUUGACGCUAGAUGUGUUUUGUGAGUUUUAGCCAUUCAAGAAAAUAGUAAAGCUGAGGCUUGAGGAAACUUUAGGCAGUUUGCCCAGCUGUAUAAAGAGUGAGAUGAUGAGUUUGGGCACUCCUUGCGCAUCUAUGUGCCCAGCCCUCAAAAUAAUGGAACAACAACAAAAACCGUGCCUGGAUUAGUUUACGUUUUACUUGAGGGAAACCUAAAAUGAGCAUACAAAUAAAUUAUGGUGAGCUACAGAGUAAGACAUGGUAUGGAAAAAAAAUAGAACAGGAUAAAAGAAGAUGAAGAGACAUUCAUCUUUUUGAGACGGAGCCUUGCUUUAAUGCCCAGGCUGGAGUGCAGUGGCACGAUCUCCGAUCACUGCAAACUCCUCCUCCUGAGUAGCUGGGACUACAAACACGUGCCACCAUGCCCGGCUAAUUUUUGUAUUUUUGCAGAGAUGGAGUUUCACCAUGUUGGCCAGGCUGGUCUUGUACUCUUGAUUUCAGGUGAUCUGUCCGCCCUGGACUCCCAAAGUACGUUGCAAUUUUAAAUAGGAUUCUCAGAGUAGGCUUCAUUGAAAACGUUACAUUGAGCCAAGGUUUGAAGGAGGUAAUGGGCUAAACUAGUUAUCUGAGGGAAGAGCUGUUAAUCUGAGAAAAGCUGGUUAUCAAGGAGAAAAGCUGUCCUGGCAAAGCAAACAGCCAGCUCCAAUGCUCCUAGUCAGUAGCAAGCCAGGAAAGGCAAGAAGUGUUGAGAUUGGACAGGUGGUGUAGAGUUUUGUAAGGACUUUGGCUUUUAUUUUAUGUGAGAUGAAGAUCUCUUAUAGAAUUUUGAGGAAAAGAAUGGUAUGAUCUUAACAUCUUAAAAGUAUCAGGCUGGUGCAGUGGCCCAUGCCUGUAAUUUUAGCACUUUGGGAGGCCAAGGCAGGAGGAUUGCUUGAGCCUGGGAGUUCAAGACCAGCUUUGGCAACACUGUGAGACCCCAUGUCUACAAAAAGUAAAAAAAUAUAUAUAUCUGUUUGGGCAUGGUGUACAUCUGUGGUCCCAGCUACUCAGGAGGCUGAGGCAGUAGGAUCCAUUGAGCCUGGAAGGCUAGGUUGCAAUGAGCCAUGUUGGUGCCACUGCAUUCCAGCCUGGGUGAGAGGGUGAGACCCUCUCAAAAAA